rnacentral:rRNA from 1 species
GGUGAACGCUAGCGGCAGGCUUAAUACAUGCAAGUCGUGGGGCAGCAUGAAUGUAGCAAUACAUUUGAUGGCGACCGGCAAACGGGUGCGGAACACGUACACAACCUUCCUUUAAGUGGGGAAUAGCCCAGAGAAAUUUGGAUUAAUACCCCGUAACAUAUAGAAGUGGCAUCACUUUUAUAUUAUAGCAGCAAUGCGCUUGAAGAUGGGUGUGCGGCUGAUUAGAUAGUUGGCGGGGUAACGGCCCACCAAGUCGACGAUCAGUAACUGGUGUGAGAGCACGACCAGUCACACGGGCACUGAGACACGGGCCCGACUCCUACGGGAGGCAGCAGUAAGGAAUAUUGGUCAAUGGACGCAAGUCUGAACCAGCCAUGCCGCGUGGAGGAUGAAGGUCCUCUGGAUUGUAAACUUCUUUUAUCUGGGAAGAAGUCUACCUUUUCUUGGGUAGUUGACGGUACCAGAUGAAUAAGCACCGGCUAACUCCGUGCCAGCCGCCGCCGUAAUAC